UACGUAGGGUGCAAGCGUUAAUCGGAAUUACUGGGCGUAAAGCGUGCGCAGGCGGUUAUGCAAGACAGAUGUGAAAUCCCCGGGCUAACCUGGGAACUGCAUUUGUGACUGCAUAGCUAGAGUGCGGCAGAGGGGGAUGGAAUUCCGCGUGUAGGCAGUGAAAUGCGUAGAUAUGCGGAGGAACACCGAUGGCGAAGGCAAUCCCCUGGGCCUGCACUGACGCUCAUGCACGAAAGCGUGGGAGCAAACAGG
rnacentral:rRNA from 1 species